UACGGGGGGGGGCAAGCGUUGUUCGGAAUUACUGGGCGUAAAGGGCUCGUAGGCGGCCAACUAAGUCGGAUGUGAAAUCCCCAGGCUUAACCUGGGAACUGCAUCCGAUACUGGAUGGCUUGAAUCCGGGAGAGGGAUGCAGAAUUCCAGGUGUAGCGGUGAAAUGCGUAGAUAUCGGGAGGAACACCAGUGGCGAAGGCGGGUCUCUGGACAGUUCCUGACACUGAGGCACGAAGGCCAGGGGAGCAAACGGG
rnacentral:rRNA from 1 species